rnacentral:lncRNA from 1 species
UCAUAUGAAAUUAUACGCUAAUUUAUUACUAAAUUUACAUUAAGGUAAAGUAUUUGUUUCUCCUAAAGGGAAGAAAAUUUUCCUGGUUCAAUGCAAAUCCCAACAGUUGAAGUCACAAAUCCGUACCUGGUAAGCAAAUUGCUUUGCCAAUAAAUACAAGAAAUUGAAGGAGAAGAAUGAGUUCUGAAAAAACAAUCCAAAACUCAACUAUUAAUCGCAUCGGCUGGGUAAAAAGAGAAGAUACCUCGGAAAGAAUUACAGGGAAAAGGUUGGCCGGCGACCAAUUUAUAUGUGCGAUUGAUAACAGAGCUCGUCCAUAUCCACUUUAACGAAGGAAUCCAUUUUUCGUCCGUAUCCAGUUCAACAUAGGAAUAUGUUUUCCUAAUCUUCUGAUUCGAGUCGAUGAAGGAAUAGGUUUCAGAUUAUUUUCUGAUUGGAGGGAAUCUUCGAUCUAUGGAGGGAAAGAUUAAUUAUUUGGGUAGGGAUGGAAAUUUAAAAAGAAAAUUUAAAAAAACUAUGUGCGCUGAACGGCUGAAGCAUAAAAG